GGCUGCUCCAGCAGGCUCUGGCUAGGGCUCCUCCCUCCUUUUGUGCUUUCUCCUUUUUAGGUAUCCAGAGUGUUGUGGCAGCGACGGCAGGUGAACAAUCAGGGUCAUCAGCGGAAGUAGGAACAGGUGUGGCGGAGCCAGUCAGCCUUCCUCCUCACCUCUAUAUAUUCAGACGCCAGUCACCACUUGGACGCCGGAUUGUGAAUGCUCAUUUGGAACCUCACCUGCUCCUGCGACUGAGCCGUCUUUUUGGGCUUCCCCACGUCUACAGUUCCUGGCAGACACCGGAGACCUCGCCACCCACUCGCCAUCGCUGCCUCUACCUUCCGUUCAGCCCCCCUGCCUUACCCUUUCCCUUAGUCAGCAGUCCGUCCCCAGCACGAGCCAGGUGGAGGUCUUUAGUGAGUUGAGUUGCUCUUUCGCUUUUCAGUCUACAUAGUGUUUUCUAGUGAGCUUAGUGGCUCUUUCGUUUUUCAGUCCGUAUAGUGUUUUCUAGUGAGCUGAGUAGCUCUUUCGCUUUAAGUUCGCAUAGUGUUUUCUAGUGAGCUGAGUUGCUCUUUCGCCUUAAGUCUGCAUAGUGUUUCUAAGUGAGCUUAGUUGCUCUUUUGCUGCAGAGUUUUUUAGUGAGCUGAGUUGCUCUUUCGCUUUUCAGUCUACAUAGUGUUUUCUAGUGAGCUUAGUUGCUCUUUCGCUUUUCAGUCCGCAUAGUGUUUUCUAGUGAGCUGAGUAGCUCUUUCGCUUUAAGUUUGCAUAGUGUUUUCUAGAGAGCUGAGUAGCUCUUUCGCUUUAAGUUUUGGCUUUUUGAAACAUUCGUCAAGUCCGCCCGCCACUAGGGGACACCCUCGCCCUGGUUUCGAGUGUGGUUGUCAAGUUCCUGUUUCCGGGGACCAGCGACUGGGAGUUGUAGUUUUUGGUUCCCCGCUUGUCAAUAAAAGUAUUAUUGUUGGCUUCA